rnacentral:rRNA from 1 species
GGACGAACGCUGGCGGCGUGCCUAACACAUGCAAGUCGAGCGAGAAAGUCCCUUCGGGGGCGAGUAAAGCGGCGGACGGGUGAGUAAUACAUGGAUAAUCUUCCCUCGAGCCUGGGAUAACCCUGCGAAAGUGGGGCUAAUACCGGAUAAGACCACAUGACACAUGUCACGGGGUAGAAGGUGGCUUGUAUUUAUAUGAGCUAUCACUUGAGGAUGAGUCCAUGGCCUAUCAGCUAGUUGGUGAGGUAAGAGCUUACCAAGGCUAUGACGGGUAGCUGGUCUGAGAGGACGACUAGCCACACUGGGACUGAGACACGGCCCAGACUCCUACGGGAGGCAGCAGUGGGGAAUAUUGGGCAAUGGGCGAAAGCCUGACCCAGCGACGCCGCGUGGGUGAUGAAGGCCUUCGGGUUGUAAAACCCUUUCGUGCGGAAAGAAUAGUCCUGUAGCGAAUAACUACGGGAUUUGACGGUACCGCAGGAAGAAGCACCGGCCAACUCCGUGCCAGCAGCCGCGGUAAUACGGAGGGUGCAAGCGUUGUUCGGAAUUAUUGGGCGUAAAGGGCGCGUAGGUGGUUGUGAUAGUCAGAUGUGAAAUCCUUCGGCUCAACCGAAGAACUGCAUCUGAAACUUCAUAGCUCGAGUACAGGAGAGGGAAACGGAAUUCCCGGUGUAGAGGUGAAAUUCGUAGAUAUCGGGAGGAACACCAGUGGCGAAGGCGGUUUCCUGGCCUGAUACUGACGCUGAGGCGCGAAAGCGUGGGGAGCAAACAGGAUUAGAUACCCUGGUAGUCCACGCUGUAAACGAUGAUUACUAGGUGUGGGGGGACUGACCCCUUCCGUGCCGCAGUUAACACAAUAAGUAAUCCACCUGGGGAGUACGACCGCAAGGUUGAAACUCAAAGGAAUUGACGGGGGCCCGCACAAGCAGUGGAGUAUGUGGUUUAAUUCGAAGCAACGCGAAAAACCUUACCAGGUCUUGACAUCGAGUGAAGUAUUAAGAGAUUAAUACGUCUUUCGGGACACGAAGACAGGUGGUGCAUGGUUGUCGUCAGCUCGUGUCGUGAGAUGUUGGGUUAAGUCCCGCAACGAGCGCAACCCUUAUCAUUAGUUGCUACGCAAGAGCACUCUAAUGAGACUGCCGUUGACAAAACGGAGGAAGGUGGGGAUGACGUCAAAUCAUCAUGCCCCUUAUGUUCUGGGCUACACACGUGCUACAAUGGGUGUAACAACGGGAAGCUAGCUGGCGACAGCAAGCCAACCUCUAAAAAGCACCCUCAGUUCGGAUUGCAGGCUGAAACCCGCCUGCAUGAAGUUGGAGUUGCUAGUAAUCGCGAAUCAGCAUGUCGCGGUGAAUACGUUCCCGGGCCU